UUGACUUCAACAUGAAAGGUUACAGGACAGGGCUGCUGCUUCUGGCUAUCUGCUGGACAGGUAUUGAUGGCCAGACUCUGACACAGUCUGAGUCCGUGCUUAAAAGACCUGGAGAAACCCACAAACUGACCUGUACAGGCUCUGGAUUCUCAUUCGGUAGCUACUGGAUGAACUGGAUAAGACAGGCUCCUGGGAAAGGACUGGAAUGGGUUGCUACUGAAGCUCGAGGUAGCCAGUACUACUCACAGUCAGUCCAGGGCAGGUUUACUGUCUCCAGAGACAAUGGCAGAGAGCAGCUGUUUCUGCAGAUGAACAGCCUGAAGACAGAAGAUUCUGCUGUUUAUUAUUGUGCCAGAGACUCACAGUGACUGAAGUGGGUUAGGCAGCU